rfam:Nematostella vectensis strain CH2 x CH6 NEMVEscaffold_178_Cont17372, whole genome shotgun sequence.
UAAAUGGCUCCUUUAGGAGCCACCCACAUAUGAUAAAGUCAGACC